AUUGAACGCUGGCGGCAGGCUUAACACAUGCAAGUCGAGCGGGGUGAUGGUGCUUGCACUAUCACUUAGCGGCGGACGGGUGAGUAAUGCUUAGGAAUCUGCCUAUUAGUGGGGGACAACAUCUCGAAAGGGAUGCUAAUACCGCAUACGUCCUACGGGAGAAAGCAGGGGAUCACUUGUGACCUUGCGCUAAUAGAUGAGCCUAAGUCGGAUUAGCUAGUUGGUGGGGUAAAGGCCUACCAAGGCGACGAUCUGUAGCGGGUCUGAGAGGAUGAUCCGCCACAAUGGGACUGAGACACGGCACAGACUCCUACGGGAGGCAGCAGUGGGGAUUAUUGGACAAUGGGGGGAACCCUGAUCCAGCCAUGCCGCGUGUGUGAAGAAGGCCUUAUGGUUGUAAAGCACUUUAAGCGAGGAGGAGGCUCUUUUGGUUAAUACCCAGAAUGAGUGGACGUUACUCGCAGAAUAAGCACCGGCUAACUCUGUGCCAGCCGCCGCAGUAA
rnacentral:rRNA from 1 species